AGUGAACGCUGGCGGUAGGCCUAACACAUGCAAGUCGAACGGCAGCACAGUAAGAGCUUGCUCUUACGGGUGGCGAGUGGCGGACGGGUGAGGAAUACAUCGGAAUCUACUUUUUCGUGGGGGAUAACGUAGGGAAACUUACGCUAAUACCGCAUACGACCUACGGGUGAAAGCAGGGGAUCUUCGGACCUUGCGCGAUUGAAUGAGCCGAUGUCGGAUUAGCUAGUUGGCGGGGUAAAGGCCCACCAAGGCGACGAUCCGUAGGUGGUCUGAGAGGAUGAUCCGCCAACAUGGAACUUGGGCACGGUUCAGACUCCUAAGGGGGGCAGCCGUGGGGAAUAUUGGACAAUGGGCGCAAGCCUUAUCCAGCCCUACCGCCUGGGUUAAGAAGGCCUUCGGGUUGUAAAGCCCUUUUGGUGGGAAAGAAAAGCAGCAGGUUAAUACCCCGCUGUUCUGACGGUACCCAAAGAAUAAGCACCGGCUAACUUCGUG
rnacentral:rRNA from 1 species